GCACGGGGCAUUGGGACCUGCAGGCCGAAUGCACCUGCAGUGCACAUGGGUCACAACAACGCAGAAUGUGAUAUCAAGAUGACUCAAGGUCGCUGGGCUACCACUCUGCUGUAUUCGGCUGCAAAAAUAACUUUUGGAAGCAAGUGCGAAGUGCAUCUUCAGCAGCGGCGACUUCAUGGACACCGCCGUUGCGAUAGCAGAGAAGCGUCUGCUUUGUAUUGCCAGCAUAGACAGAAAGGACUUGAUGUCAUAGAGUGCAUGUUCGGGAUGUUUUGUUCCCAAGGAGUGCUCAGCAACAAAUUCGGAAUUCGACACCCAUGAUCAAACUGUGGUAUGAAAGAAAGGCGCAUAUUUGAGUCGGUCAACCAUUGCGAAUGAAUGAUGUUAACUAUUUCUUCGUGCACAAACAUUAAAAUUAUUCUGCUCA